UACGGAGGGUGCAAACGUUGCUCGGAAUCAUUGGGCGUAAAGCGCGCGUAGGCGGUCCAGCAAGUCGGGUGUGAAAGCCCUCGGCUUAACCGAGGAAGUGCAUUCGAAACUACUGGACUUGAAUACUGGAGAGGAUCGCGGAAUUCCCGGUGUAGAGGUGAAAUUCGUAGAUAUCGGGAGGAACACCAGUGGCGAAGGCGGCGAUCUGGACAGAUAUUGACGCUGAUGUGCGAAAGCGUGGGGAGCAAACAGG
rnacentral:rRNA from 1 species